rnacentral:rRNA from 1 species
UACGUAGGGUGCAAGCGUUGUCCGGAAUUAUUGGGCGUAAAGAGCUCGUAGGCGGUUUGUCGCGUCUGCUGUGAAAACUCGAGGCUCAACCUCGGGCCUGCAGUGGGUACGGGCAGACUAGAGUGCGGUAGGGGAGAUUGGAAUUCCUGGUGUAGCGGUGGAAUGCGCAGAUAUCAGGAGGAACACCGAUGGCGAAGGCAGAUCUCUGGGCCGUAACUGACGCUGAGGAGCGAAAGCAUGGGGAGCGAACAGG